CAAGAGGGAAACAACCCAGACCGCCAGCUAAGGUCCCCAAAAUUGGCUAAGUGGGAAACGAAGUGGGAAGGCUAAAACAGUCAGGAUGUUGGCUUAGAAGCAGCCAUCAUUUAAAGAAAGCGUAAUAGCUCACUGAUCGAGUCGUCCUGCGCGGAAGAUGUAACGGGGCUAAGCCAGUUACCGAAGCUGCGGAUUUGCAAUUUAUUGCAAGUGGUAGGAGAGCGUUCUGUACGCCUGUGAAGGUGGAUCGUGAGGUCUGCUGGAGGUAUCAGAAGUGCGAAUGCUGACAUGAGUAGCGUUAAAGAGGGUGAAAAGCCCUCUCGCCGAAAGCGCAAGGUUUCCUACGCAACGUUCAUCGGCGUAGGGUGAGUCGGCCCCUAAGGCGAGGCAGAGAUGCGUAGCUGAUGGGAAACAGGUCAAUAUUCCUGUACCGAUCUAUAGUGCGAUGUGGGGACGGAGAAGGUUAACUCAGCCGGGUGUUGGAUGUCCCGGUUCAAGCCUGUAGUCAUGCCUGGUAGGCAAAUCCGCCGGGCUUAGAUGAGGGGUGAUAACGAGUCUGCUUGCAGACGAAGUGAGUGAUACCCUGCUUCCAGGAAAAGCCACUAAGCUUCAGCUAUAGACGACCGUACCGCAAACCGACACUGGUGCGCGAGAUGAGUAUUCUAAGGCGCUUGAGAGAACUCUGGAGAAGGAACUCGGCAAAUUGACACCGUAACUUCGGAAGAAGGUGUGCCUUUAGUAGGUGAAGUCCCUCGCGGAUGGAGCCCAAUGAGGUUGCAAAGAAUCGGUGGCUGCGACUGUUUAAUAAAAACACAGCACUCUGCAAAGACGAAAGUCGACGUAUAGGGUGUGACGCCUGCCCGGUGCUGGAAGAUUAAAUGAUGGGGUGCAAGCUCUUGAUUGAAGUCCCAGUAAACGGCGGCCGUAACUAUAACGGUCCUAAGGUAGCGAAAUUCCUUGUCGGGUAAGUUCCGACCUGCACGAAUGGCGUAACGAUGGCCACACUGUCUCCUCC
rnacentral:rRNA from 1 species